UUGCAGAUUGUAUACGAGACACGUUACCUGGCGCUGGGCCCACGCACUGCUCCACGCGUCGCCCUGCUUUCCCCUAGUAUCUCUUACCAGCGUUGGACCUUAUCCAUUCAGUUCCCUCGAUCCAUUUCUCUCAGCUCUACGAAAAAUCAACCCCAGAUCCAACGAGCAUAGCCCCAAAUCUCGACGACCGCCGUUGCCGCAAAUUCCAGCGACGCCGGCGACCUCCGCGUCGCACGUCCCAUCCUCUUUCUCUUGUUCCAAGCCCCAUGACCUCCACUCCGUUUUUGUUGCGAGCCAAGCACGGGAGCUGGAACCACCCGCGGCUUGUGCCGAGUCGUCGAUGCGCUACCUACCGCUUGAUCCGGAGCUGAACCAGCACCGCAAGGUGUUGCAGCCGGAGCUGGAACCGACGAACUUCAGAGCUACCAACCCGCGCAGGCGAAUAAGUUGCAUCCACACCGACCAGUUAUGGAAUCAGACGAGCAGGCAAGUCGUUUUGCUGGAACCGGCCUUUUGUUUUGCUACAACCGGCAAAGUUUUUGCUGCUUCAGCGAGGUGUUUUAUUGCGACAGUCAGCGGCGACGGCGGUAUUUCGGCUGGAAUUGGUGAUGUGUUUUGUUGGUACUGUAUUUGAUUUUUUCUACUACCGGUGACAGUGGCAUUUUUGCCGAUGAAUUUUGUUUUGUUUUUGGCUGGAACAUGGUGGUGGGAGCUGAUGAUGCGUCAAGCCAGCGUUGGACGAUGAAGGCGAUGCUACGACCUUCAUCAGCGGAUGUUACAACCUUCAGUGGCGGGAGCUACAAGUAGAGAUGGCGAGAAGGAAAAGCUAUGACCAUGGAGUCGAUUUGCUGGGACGGGGGAUGGGCGAUGGCGGUGGUGACGGGGCUGCAACAGGGCUGGUGGUGGAGAUGGGAUGGUGUGACCCCAUGCUGCAACCAUGGGGUGGUCGGGAGCGGCGACAGCAACCUCUGGCGCGCCGGCACAAGCAAACUGACAGCAAGCACGGGUCAUGGGGCGGUCGAAGAGCGCAUGUCGCGCGGCCGUGGGGGAGGCCGGCAAGCACGGAUGAGGAGGAGCGCAACCGGAUGAGGACGAGCGGUUGCGCUGAGCUCUGCCCCCCCCCCCCCCCCCCCCCCCUUUUUCUUUAGAUGAACGACGGAUCGUACGGUUUAAAAGUGAUGUAUCGUGUAGUAGCGCAGCGACCGGCACCUAUCACUCGCCAAAAAGAAAAGGUAAGCAAAAGGGGCAGUCACGGAACCGUACCUUCCGUUUCUCUCCCUCCCCGUUUUCUUCGUCAGCUCUCCUGUGUGACAUAUUGAAAAAAUAUACAUGGAAGUUAAAAGAUUUUCAUUUUA